CCUCCUUCAAAAUGCAGCUUGACUGUGAUUCAUGGCACAAAGCUGGAAUAAGCCUGCCAGGUCUUAGAAGCUUUCGGAUUCCUCGCCUUGAACUUGAUACACAUAGUACAGCACCUUAAAAACGAAUCAUCUGCUAGUUCAGUAUUUUCUACUUACAAUCACUCCCUCCCAGGGCAUGUAAUUAAUUUACUGAGCUUAGAAAAAAAAAAAAAAAAAAAAAAGUCAGGAUUACUCACACAGUGUUGAAGAUGCAAUGUCAGCUAUUUAGGACAGAAACAUCCAAGGCCGUGUCAGAACUCAAUUACGACUACAUAUGCAUUAAGGCAGGAACUGGCAGGCCUCUGGAUACGGCAACUGGAGGACUCGUGCCUCUCGUACGCUGGGCUAUAAUCUAUGAAACUGAGCUCCAGAGCCAGCCAAUCACUUAGCUCCUCAUAACAAGUCUAACUGGCUCUGGAAAGCUGAAAGGGCUGCACUGGAACAACACAGAUGAGAUAUUCUACACAUUAAUCUACUUAUCUGGAAUCACUUUGCUUCUAAAGGCCAGAAAAAAAUCACAGAUUCCUUGUCAGAGGGGAAGAGGAAGGUGAUCUGGGGAAAACGCAGCUACACCUGAGCAAGGUCUCUUCCCGGCUUGGCAAGCCCAGCUGUGCCGGGGCGCUGCAGGACCCGAGGCGUCCCAGAAACCAAAGGGCAGGCACGGCAGCGAACGCCUGAGAUAAUUGACCGAAUUCAACUUGAGAUUUGACACCAGAAAGAAAAACAUGGCAGUAGACAGAAAACAGAAAAAGUAAUCCAUCGGCAAUUUCCCCUCAGGUGUUGCUGCCUUUGGUGACUAUGUGAGAAUGGAAACUUCUAAGGAAGCCAGGUUGUUAGAAUUGUUCCACCCCUUAGUCAAAGAUAACAUGGAUUAUUAUCCAGACUGACAUGGAAAACAAGCCUUUUAUUGAAUUUUCAACACAGACUCCCUGCUUCUCAUCUCAUUAAUAAAAUUCCAUUAAAAUCCCCUUGAAUUUCCAUGUUCAAAUCUCCAUUUGUUGACAGACAAGGCCAAGAAUACUCCAAACUGAGGCAUCUAAGUCAUUUCAUUUGUAUUCUUGUCCAGAAAUUUCCCAUAGGAAGACUUUGCCUCCUGCAACUUUGAAGAAAACUAUCUUACUGCCCAAGAUAAUCACCAACAACCAUCCACAAAGUCAUUUGAGUUGAAGCUUUCACAGCUUUUGUACAUUCUGUAUGCCAAAAUACAACUGAAUUACAGACUGUCCCCUGGCUCCCUGACCCUUGCAAACACUGCAAGUUUUGUAUGACUCAACUUCAAGCUGUUCAUCUGUUAGUAAGUAAUGUUCACUCCACAACACAUUCAUGAUGAGAACUUCCCAAGAGACCAGCACUGCCUUACCCUCCUAGAAUCAUCAUAAUCAUGAUAACCUGAAACAUGUUACUGGGACUUGACAUUUUUCUGGGGAUUGAAAUACACUAAUACUUGGAGCUGUCACAUAGCAGGGGCCACCUCACCCUGAAACAAAGGAAAUCAUGUCUCAUUAUUAUCCACCCUGAGCCACCAUCAUAUGCCGUGUACAUUUAUUUACCCUGUGCAAAACAAAGCAAUGGAAGAGGAAACUUAAAAAUAUACAUAUUAGUACCAUUGUCUUCUUUUGCCUAAAAUUAUUAAUGUACCAUGUCAGAGCCUGCUUCCUGCAGGCAUCAUUCUCAAUUCAUCAAGACUUGUAUUAGCAGGUUCUGGCUAGAGAGACUAUCUCCUAUUAUCACGAUCAAUUAAUGUUUUCUGGUGAUCACAUCAGGUAGUGUCUAAGAAGUUCAUGGUACACAAGGGUCAUCCAAAUAGCUGAGUGCAGUCUUUGCUCGUAUUUCCUUCAUCUCAACCAGACAAACAAGAAUUAAGAUGAUGCCAAUAAAAUAAAAAUUGCUCAAGACAGUAACCUUUUUCUGAAGCAAGCACUGUCAGCAACUCUCAAGUAUUAGAACAACUAUAGUAAACUGAAAAGUGUUUCAAAAUCUGGGCCAAGAAUGAUUUCUAGGUCCAUAAGCUAAUUUGUCUGGCCUUGCUAUUUAUGUAAACUAAAAAAGUCACUCAUGAGUAAACUACAGAAAACAUUCAGACCCAUCAUGUUAACAUGUCAAAGCAACUAAGACUGGCAGGGUAUUACCUCCACUCCAGGUGACAUGGAUAAAUAGCCCCAUUAUUUUCAUAAUGCCAGCCUCUACCUAAGGAAACCCUAGACCUUGGAACCAGCUUCCUGGUAGGAAACUGCUGACAGUUUCAAUGCUGACAGUUGGAGCCAGUGCCUUAUAGAGUAAACUGAAAUAAAAAUAGUUGCUUUUUAAAAUCAGCAAGAAGGCCUGCCUCCCCUUAACAAGGCAAAAAAAUAGUUUUAAUUCAAAUUAAAAAUCAUGAUACUAGAGAUGGGAGUUUGUGGUCAGUAUAAGGAUAAAGCUCAUGUUCUUGGUUCAGAUAACAAAAUAUUUUAUCUGGACAAAUGGACCUCAAAUUGAAAUUUGCUCUUGGCACAGGGG